GACGAACGCUGGCGGCGUGCCUAAUACAUGCAAGUCGAACGGUCUUUUCUAUGGAAGCUUGCUUCCACUGAGAAGAUAGUGGCGAACGGGUGAGUAACACGUGGGUAACCUGCCCAUAAGAGGGGGAUAACAUCCGGAAACGGGUGCUAAUACCGCAUAGUUUUCUUGAUCGCAUGAUUGAGAAAGGAAAGACGGCCUUUGUGCUGUCGCUUCUGGAUGGACCCGCGGCGUAUUAGUUAGUUGGUGAGGUAACGGCUCACCAAGACGAUGAUACGUAGCCGACCUGAGAGGGUGAUCGGCCACAUUGGGACUGAGACACGGCCCAAACUCCUACGGGAGGCAGCAGUAGGGAAUCUUCCGCAAUGGACGAAAGUCUGACGGAGCAACGCCGCGUGAGUGAAGAAGGUUUUCGGAUCGUAAAACUCUGUUGUCAGAGAAGAACAACUCGGAGAGUAACUGCUCCGGCCUUGACGGUAUCUGACCAGAAAGCCACGGCUAACUACGUGCCAGCAGCCGCCGUAAAAC
rnacentral:rRNA from 1 species